rnacentral:lncRNA from 1 species
UGGUUAUCCGUGCUCUCACUUUACUAACUCAGCCCUUACUAACCAUUUUCUCUUCUUACUAACCCAGCCCUGCCGAGCUCUGGGC